GAUGAACGCUGGCGGCGUGCCUAAUACAUGCAAGUCGAGCGAACAGACGAGGAGCUUGCUCCUCUGACGUUAGCGGCGGACGGGUGAGUAACACGUGGAUAACCUACCUAUAAGACUGGGAUAACUUCGGGAAACCGGAGCUAAUACCGGAUAAUAUAUUGAACCGCAUGGUUCAAUAGUGAAAGACGGUUUUGCUGUCACUUAUAGAUGGAUCCGCGCCGCAUUAGCUAGUUGGUAAGGUAACGGCUUACCAAGGCAACGAUGCGUAGCCGACCUGAGAGGGGGAUCGGCCACACUGGAACGGAGACACGGUCCAGACUCCUACGGGAGGCAGCAGUAGGGAAUCUUCCGCAAUGGGCGAAAGCUUGACGGAGCAACGCCGCGUGAGUGAUGAAGGUCUUCGGAUCGUAAAACUCUGUUAUUAGGGAAGAACAAAUGUGUAAGUAACUAUGCACGUCUUGACGGUACCUAAUCAGAAAGCCACGGCUAACUACGUG
rnacentral:rRNA from 1 species